ACCGCCCGUCACACCAUGGGAGUCGGUUGCUCCAGAAGUGGCUGAGCCAACCCGCAAGGGAGGCAGGCCCCCAAGGAGUGGCUGGUAACUGGGGUG
rnacentral:rRNA from 1 species